UUGAAAGGGAAACGAUUGAAGUCAGUCGUACCUGCUGGUAAUCAGCCUUUUGGGCAUGAUUCUGUGGAGUGUGAGGAGUUAAACGCCUUCAUGCCUGCAUAUUCGUGUACUUUGGGUGUACUUGCCUGUGUGGUUAGUUAACAUCAAUUUUGGUUAUCAUAAAAUGGUUGGAGGAAUGUAGCUUCGAUUUCGAUUGAAGUGUUAUAGCCUUCGGCAGAUGUGAUGAUCGGGAUUGAGGAUUGCAACGGAUACCCUUCGGGGCUACCUGUCUGAUCUCUGAUCGUUGCUUUGGUGCUGAAAGCGUGCUUAUAGUUAUCAAAGUCGAUGGUCAAUAGGUUAGAAUGGGUUAAAUUCGUUAAGGAUGUUGACGUA
rnacentral:rRNA from 1 species